GCCCAGGUGGCUCAGUGGUUUAGCGCCUCCAUCAGCCCAGGAUGUGAUCCUGGAGACCUGGGAUCGAGUCCCAUUUUGGGCU
rnacentral:tRNA from 1 species